GUGGUUUGCCCACUCCACCUUUUAUUCUCCUUGGGUGGUUCAUAGGAAGAGGCCAAGAGAGAGAGAAGGAUGCUGUAUUUAUGGGAAAAGGCUACCAGAAUUUCCAUCCGAGGUUGGUGGUCCAUUCCUCUACCUAUGUGGAAGGCAGGUUCUCCUUGACAAUAGCCAGGUCUGCAUGUGUCUUCCACUCAAUCUACAACGUAUCCACGGAGAGUGACCUUGUACUCAGUACUCAGUACUCCAGCCCCUUGGCUGGAGUUAGCUCUGCCCGCUCCACCCCUGUGCCUUUUCUGGCCCACUUGAAAUUUGAUGUCUUGGGUUGUAGCCUAUUUUUAAGGUUGAGUCUCACUCUUAGACUAUGAGCUCUUGAAAAAUAAUAACUGUGUCUUAUUUGUCUUUGCUCUUCCACUUACAUAUAGGAACUACUAAUGACAUUUAGCAAAUGUCUCUUUAUCUUUUGAUGGAGCAGAGAGAGGUCUGAGGAUGAACUGCUUUCAUCUUCUCGCUGUGUGAUCUUGCACGGGUCCUUUCCUAUCCCUCCUCUGCCACUCUUCUAGGACCGAAGGGGUUCGAGGGUGACCUUUCUGGCCACUUGCAAUUGCUAAGAGUGUAUUGAUUUGAGAAUUAAAGGAACGUGGCUCUUGAAAUGUGUGUGCGGUAGAGGCCAUCCAAAAUAGCUAAUGAAGAAACAUCCUGGGGAUUACGCCAAGUUCACAACGCAUUUUAAUGAGCCGUGAGUGUGUGUGAAUGCGUGUGUCGACCACAUGCACAUUGAUGGCUGUGGCAGGGAGGACGCUGUUUCUGAGAGUAGAGUCCUCACUUCUGAGAAACUUACAGAAGGUGGAACAGAUCACGCCGUAUUUCAUAGCAGCCUAAUUCUGACAUGCAUCUGCAAGCCUCAUAAGUCGUGGUUUGGUCGGUGCUGCCCAUCAAAUCAACUUCCUGAACUUGUUUUCAUCUGAACUCCAAGGCAGCCCAGGCGCGGGGGGAGCGCAAUCGCUCGUGUCUGACUGGCUGCCUCUGAAGUCGUCCGUUACCAGUAGUCUGUUUAGAAGGUGGAUUGUUAAUUGUUUGAUUUUUCUGCCAACAGGAUUCCCUGC
rnacentral:lncRNA from 1 species